rnacentral:rRNA from 1 species
GACGAACGCUGGCGGCGUGCUUAACACAUGCAAGUCGAACGGUGACCCAGGGCUUGCCCUGGUGAUCAGUGGCGAACGGGUGAGUAACACGUGGGCAACCUGCCCCUGACUUCGGGAUAACUCCUCGAAAGAGGAGCUAAUACCGGAUACGACCACUUCGGACAUCCGAUGGUGGUGGAAAGUUUUUCGGUCAGGGAUGGGCCCGCGGCCUAUCAGCUAGUUGGUGGGGUAAUGGCCUACCAAGGCGACGACGGGUAGCCGGCCUGAGAGGGCGACCGGCCACACUGGGACUGAGACACGGGCCCAGACUCCUACGGGAGGCAGCAGUGGGGAAUAUUGCGCAAUGGGCGAAAGCCUGACGCAGCGACGCCGCGUGAGGGGAUGAAAGGCCUCGGGUUGUAAACCGUCUUUCUAGCAGGACGAAGCGAAAGUAGACGGUA